rnacentral:rRNA from 1 species
UGCUUGAGUAGUACUAGGUAUGUUCUUGAAACUUAAAGAAUUUGGCGGUAUCUUAUUCCAUUCAGAGGAAUCUGCCUCGUUAUCGAUAGUCCGCGUUGGACCUUGCUUAGUUGUUAUGGUUUGUAUACCGCCGUUUAUUGAUUAUUCUUUUAGGGUUUGUUAAUUUUCUGGUUUCUCUAUUUUGAUUUAUUUCAGGUCAAGGUGCAGCUUGUUUCUAAGUGUUAUUGGUGGAUUACAUUGUUCUUUGUUGUUUGGAUUGCUGGUUGAAUUGUUGGUAUGAAAUUGGAUUUGAUUGUAAUGUCUUGAAGAUUGUUUUCGUGAUAUGGGUUCUAAGAUAUG